rnacentral:misc_RNA from 1 species
ACGAUUUAUAGACGCGAAUCGAUCGUCGCCCGGAGCGGCGACGGCGACACGCGAAGUUCGUAAUAUAGUUCGCGACGCGAACUGGCGCGGGCGCGUCGCGAGACUCCAGCCGGCGAACGAACGAACGAACAGCUCGCGCAACGCGCCGCGCCGUUAGACGACCGUAACAAUUCUCGCGGAGUCGAGUGAUAUUAUUCUUCUUCUUUCUGUUCUAAAUAGCCUUCAUCACACACGGAGCGCUAAAAGUAAGGAAAAUCAACAACGAAGAGUCAGCUUCAAAUGAGCUGAACUAUCAAAUGCCCUAUCGAGGUCUUAUGCUUGAUGAGGAUGGCUCCAACAAUUUUUUGCUCGGGUUGCGCGCAUCCUCUUUCGAACAGACAGGAUUGCGCGACGGAGGCCGUGCGAAAGCGAGCGGCGAUGCCUUGCGAAUUGCAGCUCUAGCAUGGAAAUGCGUUCAUUAUUCACGAACGCCAGGAUGGAGGAAUCGAUGUGUAUGAACGAGGGCGAGCGACAAUCGAAGAUAUCGCAGCUGUUUAACCCUCAAUAAGCCUUAUUUGCUGAGGUAAUCCUUGGACGACGUGUACAUCGGCGAGCGAUAAGGCCAUUGAGAUCGUCGAGCAACGAGUGGUCGUGCAUGAGCAUUACGUCUGCAUAAGAAAUAAUCUUCCUACUGCACUCUACAUGUAUACGUAAAAAUUUUGUCAUUUAUAUAAAUGCUGCUUCCAGCAUGCUUCGUUAUUAUAU